GAGACUGCCGGUGUUAAACCGGAGGAAGUGGGAUGACGUCAAGUCCUCAUGGCCUUUAUGCCCAGGGCUACACACGUGCUACAAUGGGUGGUACAAAGAGCAGCCAGCUCGCGAGAGCGCGCCAAUCUCAAAAAGCCAUCCUCAGUUCGGAUUGGAGUCUGCAACUCGACUCCAUGAAGUUGGAAUCGCUAGUAAUCGCGGAUCAGCAUGCCGCGGUGAAUACGUUCCCGGGCCUU
rnacentral:rRNA from 1 species